UACGGAGGGUGCAAGCGUUGUCCGGAUUUAUUGGGUUUAAAGGGUGCGUAGGCGGCCCUGUAAGUCAGUGGUGAAAGCCUCCAGCUCAACUGGAGAACUGCCAUUGAUACUGCAGGGCUUGAGUACAGACGAGGUUGGCGGAAUUGAUUGUGUAGCGGUGAAAUGCAUAGAUACAAUCAAGAACUCCGAUUGCGUAGGCAGCUAACUAGGCUGUAACUGACGCUGAGGCACGAAAGCGUGGGGAGCUAACAGG
rnacentral:rRNA from 1 species